UUGACCUCGGAUCAGGUAGGAAUACCCGCUGAACUUAAGCAUAUCAAUAAGCGGAGGAAAAGAAACCAACAGGGAUUGCCUCAGUAACGGCGAGUGAAGCGGCAACAGCUCAAAUUUGAAAUCUGGCUCUCGGGCCCGAGUUGUAAUUUGUAGAGGAUGUUUUGGGUACCGCUGCAGUUUAAAUUUCUUGGAACAGAAUGUCAGAGAGGGUGAGAGUCCCGUCUGGAACUGCGGUAGGGCCUAUGUAAAACUCCUUCGACGAGUCGAGUUGUUUGGGAAUGCAGCUCAAAAUGGGUGGUAAAUUUCAUCUAAAGCUAAAUAUUGGCCAGAGACCGAUAGCGCACAAGUAGAGUGAUCGAAAGAUGAAAAGCACUUUGAAAAGAGAGUUAAACAGUAUGUGAAAUUGUUGAAAGGGAAGCGCUUGCAACCAGACUUGAGCGUGGCGGUUCCCCCUUGCUUCUGCUUGGGUUACUCCGUCAUGUCCAGGCCAACAUCGGUUCCAGGGGUCGGUUAAAGGCCUUGGGAAUGUAUCUACCUCCGGGUAGACUUAUAGCCCAGGGUGUCAUGCGACCUCCCGGGACCGAGGAACGCGCCUCGGCGAGGAUGUUGGCGUAAUGGUUGUCAGCGACCCGUCUUGAAACACGGACCAAGGAGUCUAACAUCUAUGCGAGUGUUUGGGUGUCAAACCCGUACGCGAAAUGAAAGUGAACGGAGGUAGGAAGCCCUCGGGCUGCACUAUCGACCGAUCCUGAAAUUUAUGGAUGGAUUUGAGUAAGAGCAUAGCUGUUGGGACCCGAAAGAUGGUGAACUAUGCCUGAAUAGGGUGAAGCCAGAGGAAACUCUGGUGGAGGCUCGCAGCGGUUCUGACGUGCAAAUCGAUCGUCAAAUUUGGGUAUAGGGGCG
rnacentral:rRNA from 2 species